rnacentral:rRNA from 1 species
CAAUAAGCGGAGGAAAAGAAACCAACAGGGAUUGCUCUAGUAACGGCGAGUGAAGCAGCAAUAGCUCAAAUUUGAAAUCUGGCGUCUUCGACGUCCGAGUUGUAAUUUGUAGAGGAUGCUUCUGAGUAACCACCGACCUAAGUUCCUUGGAACAGGACGUCAUAGAGGGUGAGAAUCCCGUAUGCGGUCGGAAAGGUGCUCUAUACGUAGCUCCUUCGACGAGUCGAGUUGUUUGGGAAUGCAGCUCUAAAUGGGAGGUAAAUUUCUUCUAAAGCUAAAUAUUGGCCAGAGACCGAUAGCGCACAAGUAGAGUGAUCGAAAGAUGAAAAGCACUUUGGAAAGAGAGUUAAAAAGCACGUGAAAUUGUUAAAAGGGAAGGGAUUGCAACCAGACUUGCUCGCGGUGUUCCGCCGGUCUUCUGACCGGUCUACUCGCCGCGUUGCAGGCCAGCAUCGUCUGGUGCCGCUGGAUAAGACUUGAGGAAUGUAGCUCCCUCGGGAGUGUUAUAGCCUCUUGUGAUGCAGCGAGCGCCGGGCGAGGUCCGCGCUUCGGCUAGGAUGCUGGCGUAAUGGUCGUAAUCCGCCCCGUCUUGAAAACACGGGACCCAAGGGAGAAAUUCACCUUAAGUUGCCCGGGGGCCCGCCCCUGGCCCAAGGGG